rnacentral:rRNA from 1 species
CCUACGGGGGGCAGCAGUCGGGAAAAUUUUGCAAUGCGCGAAAGCGUGACAGAGCAAGCCAGAGUGCAAUUCCGUAUGGAAUUGCUUUUGUGAAAUGUAAACAGUCUCACGAAUAAGGACUGGGAGAGACUGGUGCCAGCCGCCGCGGUAAUCCCAGCAGUCCAAGUCGCAGCCACAUUUGUUGGGUCUAAAACAUCCGUAGCUUGCCUUGCAAGUCUCAUGUGAAAUCGGGGCUCUUAAGGUUCCGGCGUGCAUGAGAUACUGCUUGGCUCGAGACCGGGAGAUGCAUUGAGUACAGUCAGAGUAGCGGUAAAAUGUGUUGAUCCUGACUGGACUAACAACAGCGAAGGCACGAUGCAAGAACGGAUCUGACAGUGAGGGAUGAAGGCUAGGGGCGCAAAGUGGAUUAGAUACCCGGGUAGUC